rnacentral:rRNA from 1 species
GGAGGGUCCGAGCGUUAUCCGGAAUCAUUGGGUUUAAAGGGUCCGCAGGCGGUCGAUUAAGUCAGAGGUGAAAUCCCAUAGCUCAACUAUGGAACUGCCUUUGAUACUGGUUGACUUGAGUCAUAUGGAAGUAGAUAGAAUGUGUAGUGUAGCGGUGAAAUGCAUAGAUAUUACACAGAAUACCGAUUGCGAAGGCAGUCUACUAGCUUAGUACUGACGCUGAGGGACGAAAGCGUGGGAGCGAACAGGAUUAGAUACCCUGGUAGUCCACGCCGUAAACGAUGGAUACUAGUUGUUGGGAUUUA